GUUUGGGUAGCUCAGGGGUAGAGCGGAGGAUUGAAAAUCCUUGUGUCGGUGGUUCAAAUCCACCUCUAGACA
rnacentral:tRNA from 1 species